rnacentral:rRNA from 1 species
UUGUUAAGGAACUCGGCAAGUUGUCCUCAUAAGUUUGACGAUAAGAGGAACCGUAAAAAUUUAAAUUAGCCAUAAUUUAAAAUCUUUUGCGGUGUAAUAAAAUCGGAGGCCCCGACUGUUUACUAAAAACACAAUUCAGAGCAAUGAUUAAUAUCAUAGUAUUCUGGAUGAAAUUUGCCCGAUGCCAUUAAUAUAAGAGAGGUAAUGGGUGACUGUUACUAAUCGAAAGUCUGGUUAAUAGCGGUCUUAACUAUGAGGAUCCAAAGGUAGCAAAAUAAAUUGGCCAUUAAAUGUGGUCUGGUAUCAAUAAUGUAACGAUGGUCUCACUGUCUCUACAACUUGCUCAGUGAAAUUGAAUUACCCGUGCAGAUGCGGGUUACCUCCAGGGGGACGGGAAGACCCUAUGCAGCUUCUACUG